UACCAGCUCUUCGAGUGGUGUGGAUGUUUAUUGGGCCUAAAGCAUCCGUAGCUGGCUGGGCAAGUCCCCUGUUAAAUCCACCGAUUUAAUCGUUGGAGUGCGGGGGAUACUGUUCGGCUAGGGGACGGGAGAGGCAGACGGUAUUUUCGGGGUAGGGGUGAAAUCCUAUAAUCCCGGGAAGACCACCAGUGGCGAAGGCUGUCUGCUAGAACGCGCCCGACGGUGAGGGAUGAAAGCUGGGGGAGCGAACCGGAUUAGAUACCCGGGUAGUCCCAGCUGUAAACGAUGCAGGCUAGGUGUUUGGGCGGCCACGUGCCGCUCAAGUGCCGCAGGGAAGCCGUUAAGCCUGCCGCCUGGGGAGUACGGCCGCAAGGCUGAAACUUAAAGGAAUUGGCGGGGGAGCACCACAAGGGGUGAAGCUUGCGGUUU
rnacentral:rRNA from 1 species